GAUGAAGAACGCAGCGAAAUGCGAUAAGUAAUGUGAAUUGCAGAAUUCAGUGAAUCAUCGAAUCUUUUAACGCACAUUGCGCCCGCCAGUAUUCUGGCGGGCAUGCCUGUUCGAGCGUCAUUUCAACCAUCAAGCCCCCGGCUUGUGUUGGGGACCUGCGGCUGCCGCAGGCCCUGAAAACCAGUGGCGGGCUCGCUAGUCACUCCGAGCGUAGUAAUACAUCUCGCUCAGGGCGUGCUGCGGGUUCCGGCCGUUAAAAAGCCUUAUUUACCCAAGGUUGACCUCGGAUCAGGUAGGAAGACCCGCUGAACUUAAGCAUAUCAAUAAGCGGAGGA
rnacentral:misc_RNA from 1 species